rnacentral:rRNA from 1 species
AAGGUGGAGUCGCUAGUAAUCGCGGAUCAGCAACGUCGCGGUGAAUGCGUUCCCGGGCCUUGUACACACCGCCCGUCAAGUCAUGAAAGUGGGCAGCAACCGAAGACGGUGGCCUAACCCUUNUGGGGGGAGCCGUCUAAGGUGAGGCUCGUGAUUGGGACUAAGUCGUAACAAGGUAAC